GACGGAGGGUGCAAGCGUUGUUCGGAUUGACUGGGCGUAAAGAGCGUGUAGGCGGUCAGGUAGGUCCGUUGUGAAAACUCGAGGCUCAACCUCGAGACGCCGAUGGAAACCAUCUGACCAGAGUCCGGAAGAGGAGAGUGGAAUUCCUGGUGUAGCGGUGAAAUGCGCAGAUAUCAGGAAGAACACCCGUGGCUAAGGCGGCUCUCUAGUACGGUACUGACGCUGAGACGCGAAAGCGUGGGGAGCGAACAGG
rnacentral:rRNA from 1 species